rnacentral:rRNA from 1 species
AACGAACGCUGGCGGCAUGCCUAACACAUGCAAGUCGAACGAGACCUUCGGGUCUAGUGGCGCACGGGUGCGUAACGCGUGGGAACCUGUCCUUAGGUUCGGAAUAACUCCCCGAAAGGGGUGCUAAUACCGGAUAAUGUCUUCGGACCAAAGAUUUAUCGCCUUUGGAUGGGCCCGCGUUGGAUUAGCUAGUUGGUAGGGUAAAAGCCUACCAAGGCGACGAUCCAUAGCUGGUCUGAGAGGAUGAUCAGCCACACUGGGACUGAGACACGGCCCAGACUCCUACGGGAGGCAGCAGUGGGGAAUAUUGGACAAUGGGCGAAAGUCUGAUCCAGCAAUGCCGCGUGAGUGAUGAAGGCCUUAGGGUUGUAAAGCUCUUUUACCCGGGAUGAUAAUGACAGUACCGGGAGAAUAAGCUCCGGCUAACUCCGUG